rnacentral:rRNA from 1 species
UCGGGAAUUUUGGGCAAUGGGCGAAAGCCUGACCCAGCAACGCCGCGUGAAGGAUGAAGUAUUUCGGUAUGUAAACUUCGAAAGAAUAGGAAGAAUAAAUGACGGUACUAUUUAUAAGGUCCGGCUAACUACGUGCCAGCAGCCGCGGUAAUACGUAGGGACCAAGCGUUGUUCGGAUUUACUGGGCGUAAAGGGCGCGUAGGCGGCAAUUCAAGUCAUCUGUGAAAUCUCCGGGCUUAACUCGGAACGGUCAGAUGAUACUGCUUUGCUAGAGUGCAGAAGGGGCAAUCGGAAUUCUUGGUGUAGCGGUGAAAUGCGUAGAUAUCAAGAGGAACACCUGAGGUGAAGACGGGUUGCUGGGCUGACACUGACGCUGAGGCGCGAAAGCCAGGGGAGCAAACGGGUUUAGAUACCCCUGUAGUCCCUGAGCGGGCUGGCAAGGCGCAU